rnacentral:tRNA from 1 species
UCUAAUUUGGCAGAGAAGUGCAAUGGAUUUAAGCUCCAUUAAUAAAAAUUAAAUUUUUAUUUAGAA